ensembl:lncRNA
CUUUUAGUGUUUGACAUGAGCUGUCUGCAAGCCGAUGAUUGCAUGCUUUUAGUGUUUGUAUUAGCUUUGGUGACAUGAGCUGUCUUUGAGUGUUUGUAUUAGCUUUGGUGACAUGAGCUGUCUUUGAGUGUUUGUAUUAGCUUUGGUGACAUGAGCUGUCUUUGAGUGUUUGUAUUAGCUUUGGUGACAUGAGCUGUCUUUGAGUGUUUGUAUUAGCUUUGGUGACAUGAGCUGUCUUUGAGUGUUUGUAUUAGCUUUGGUGACAUGAGCUGUCUUUGAGUGUUUGUAUUAGCUUUGGUGACAUGAGCUGUCUUUGAGUGUUUGUAUUAGCUUUGGUGACAUGAGCUGUCUUUGACUACCAAACUGAAAUGAUUUACAUAGACUUUACCAAUCAUAUCUUAAAGGAACUGUCCAGUGUUUCCAGAUUUCUGACACAUUUAUUUUGAACCUUUAUGAAAAUAAGAAUUUGUUCUUAAUUAAAAUGUCAGCCUAGGAACAGUGUGUUAACUGCCUUGUUCAGGGGCAGAACAACAGAUUUUUACUUUGUCAGCUCGGGGAUUUGAUUUGGUAACCUUUCGGUUACUAGUCCAACGCUCUAACCACUAGGCUACCUGCCACCCCCAUAUAUGACCUAUAUAGUUAAUUCAUAUUGCAUAGAAAUGACUUAUAAUUAACUACCAUAUUACUUAAUUACAAUUUUUUGGAAGGAUAAUUUAAGUAUGUUAAAAUCAGCUUUUCUAUGUUGGAAUGGUGUGGGCAUACCCCAACAACAGAAUGGUGUGGGCAAGUAGAGUGCUGAUUGGCCAGAAAUGUUUGUUUGUGAUACAAGUUUGAGGUGGUGUUUUUAAGUGGGUUUUUUUUGGCCAGUGUAUGAGUUAACAGAAUAUGAACUUUUAAAUGUGAGAUUUUCACUGGACAGUUGCUUUAAUUACUUACAAGCCUUAGAUUUCAUCAUUAGCUAUGCAAGCAGAGUCUGUUAAAUUGUAUUUAAAAACAAGUGCUUUUAUCUUCUCAUUAUGAUAAUACUUAUUUGAAAAAUAAAUAAGAAUUUAAAUGGACCCAACAUACAGUAUCUUAACAGGUAAAAGUAAUUCCAUGAUGUCUGCUUAUUUCAUGAAACUUGGCCAUAAUGGACUGGAUGUCACUUGACUUGUUUACCGCUCUUUGGUGUUGUAGCUCUGUGUUGCCCUCUGAUCUAUACUGUAAUGUUUUAACGCCUUGGGGAAUGGUAGGUGACGGCAGAGAUCUGGGAAUAUCUAUGAUACACUGCCCUGGUUCUUUGGCUGAGUUUGGGUCUUCUUACAUGUCCUAGUAGCUUGGAUAUUCAUGUUUAAAUGUUUGAAGGCUUUCAGCGUUUGAGUUGCCUUCCCUUGGCCUUUACAUAAGUCAAGCAUUCACGUGUAUUUGGUUCAGUCAAAUUGUCCCCCUCGCCAUCAUUGCACAUUCAUGAUUUAACCUCACUGUACCAGUGGUUUGUCUUUGAUUCUGGAGAAGCAGAGCUGUUAUUCUGAGAGAAUUUGAUCAAUAUGCAAAAAGGUGACAAUGACAUUUGAAACACACAUCAGAGCAGUACAGUUGUGUCCAGCGUGUGGCUAGCACUCUUUUUCUCCAUAAGCACAAUUCCACCGAGACAUCCCAGAUCCUUGCAUGUCUCAUCUGGGUCUUUUAGUCUCAUGUUUUCAGCACUGUGAGUGGACAAGGUCAUUUUAAUAGUGUUUAUUUUUCACAUGAUUGUGUUGUUUAAGGGUGUGUACAUUUGUAUGGAUGUCUUCACAGAGGACAGUUUCCAGUUUGUUUCAAGUUUUAUUAGUCAUUUAUUAGUCACACGUAUACUUCGUCCACAAAAUGCUUACUUGCAUACGCACCAUUGUUCUUAGCUAGUCAAAGGUCACUCACUUGGGCUUCUGUGGUAGCCAACCAUUACCCACUUUGCAUUUUCUGCCAGUGAGCUAUUAACGUUAACUUAGUUUGAUUUCCAAUGGUGGAAAAAGUACCCAAUGGUUAUACUUGAGUAAAAGUAAUAGAAAGUUACUCAAGUAAAAGUUAGUCACCCAGUAAAAUACUACUUGAUUAAAAAUCUAAAAGUAUUUGUUUUUAAAUAUACUUAAGUAUCAAAAGUAAAUGUAAUUGCUAAAAUAUACUUAAGUAUUAAAAGUAGUGAAAAUAUAUAUAUAUUUUUUGUUGAGAUAGCCUGGGGCACACUCAGACAUUAUUUACAAAUUAUGCAUGUCUGUUUAGUGAGUCCACCAGACCAGAGGCAGUAGGGAUGACCGUGUGUUCUUUUGAUAAGUGUGUGAAUUUCACAAUUUUCCUGUCCUGCUAAGAGUUCAAAAUUAAAUAAGUACUUUUGGUUGUCAUGGAAAAUAUAUGGAAUACAAAGUACAAUACUUUCUUUAGGAAUGUAGUGAAGUAAAAGUAGUCAAAAAUAUAAAUAGUAAAGUACAGAUACGCCUAAAAACUACUUAAGUAGUACUUUAAAGUAUUUUUACUCAAGUACUUUACAUCACUGUUGAUUUCAGAUCAGAUUUUGCCAGUGCUCCAUCUGUGGUGUUUGAUUCUUGUAGCAUUCUGAUGUCAGGGUUUUGUCUUUUUUUAAGUCUUGAGAAAUGUGAAUUAUUUUUUGUGGAAAUUAAUUACUGAAUAAAAUGAAUGUGUAUGUGGUUA